AAUGCUCAUACAAAACUAACAGUUGCUAUUACAAUCAUGACCAAUCCUAGCCAAGGUGGAUCAUGUUCUGAGACUUUGUUGCAGGAUAUAUGGACAUAAACAUGAAGGUAUAGUACUCUAAUUGUUAUCAGGAAAGGCAGUGUUCAAUAGAGGUGGUAUAACAAGAAAGGUAUAGGAAUGAUCUGAUAAGAGGUGGCUAAGGCAUCAAGUUCAACAGAUGAGAUAGGAAGAUGCUUGAGGAUGAACACCCAUGGAUGGAAAAUUAGUGGUGCUGAGAACCAUACUUAUUGACACGGGUAAGCCACUGAAGUGGGAUGCUAUCAACAAGGAUUGUUUGCAGCUGAUAUGAGGUAAGCUGAUUUGAGCAUGAUACUAGUUCUGUGGCAGCAGAAUUGGCUAUUGUUGUGAUAAGUGACAAUUUAUUUAAAUUUUCCAAACCAUGGUUUACUUUGCUCAAGUGACUGUGUGGACCAAACAAGGAGUAGCAAGCUUCUUAACAUUGAGCUUCAAGAAGGCAAGGUCAAUAUAUCAGUUUGAUCAUGAAAAUACUAGCUGAUGCACUCUGCUGAAGUGAGUAGGGUGGCUGGUGAUAUGACUUGGAGUAAGCAAAUUAUGAUGGCAAGACUUUUCAGGGUGCAAUGCAGGUGUGGCUCUGUACAUCAAUAUAAGUAACCAAUGGUGAACAUGAUAGCUUAAUUCAUGACAAAGUCUUCUGGAUAAUGAUGUGGCUUAAAAGAAAACUAACAUCUACAAAGCUGUUGCACAUGAAACAGGAAGGAUGUAUACACAAUGGAGCAACUCCAAUAAAAAUGAUGUGUGACUCUCAAGAUUUUCCAAUCUCAGCUAAAAAUGAAGAUAUCUUAAUUGGCAAGCAGAUUGAUAGCAAUACUCUAUUACCAAAGUAGUCACUGGGGUCCGAGGCACAUCCAAUUGAG
rnacentral:lncRNA from 1 species